rnacentral:rRNA from 1 species
AAAAGUCGGAUGAGUAAAGUGGCAGACGAGGUAGGAAUAUAUAGGAACAAACCCCAAGGUCAGGAAUAACUAGUCGAAAGAUUAGCUAACACUUGAUAUCUCGCAAGAGGAAAAAUUUAUUGCCAUGGGAUUGGCCUAUACGGUAUCAGGUAGUUGGUAGGGUAAAAGCCUACCAAGCCUAUGACGCCUAGAGAAGCGAGAGCUUGACCUCCACCGAUGGGACUGAGACACGGCCCAU